GGACGGUACCUGACUAAGAAGCCCCGGCUAACUACGUGCCAGCAGCCGCGGUAAUACGUAGGGGGCAAGCGUUAUCCGGAUUUUACUGGGUGUAAAGGGGGCGCAGACGGCAGCGCAAGCCAGGAGUGAAAGCCCGGGGCCCAACCCCGGGACUGCUCUUGGAACUGCGCGGCUGGAGUGCAGGAGGGGCAGGCGGAAUUCCUGGUGUAGCGGUGAAAUGCGUAGAUAUCAGGAGGAACACCGGUGGCGAAGGCGGCCUGCUGGACUGCGACUGACGUUGAGGCCCGAAAGCGUGGGGAGCAAACAGGAUUAGAUACCCUGGUAGUCCACGCCGUAAACGAUGAUUACUAGGUGUCGGGGAGCAGAGACUGCCCGGUGCCGCAGCCAACGCAUUAAGUAAUCCACCUGGGGAGUACGUCCGCAAGGAUG
rnacentral:rRNA from 1 species